GUGAACGCUGGCGGUAGGCCUAACACCUGCCCGUCGAACGGCAGCACAGUAAGAGCUUGCUCUUACGGGUGGCGAGUGGCGGACGGGUGAGGAAUACAUCGGAAUCUACUUUUUCGUGGGGGAUAACGUAGGGAAACUUACGCUAAUACCGCAUACGACCUACGGGUGAAAGCAGGGGAUCUUCGGACCUUGCGCGAUUGAAUGAGCCGAUGUCGGAUUAGCUAGUUGGCGGGGUAAAGGCCCACCAAGGCGACGAUCCGUAGCUGGUCUGAGAGGAUGAUCAGCCACACUGGAACUGAGACACGGUCCAGACUCCUACGGGAGGCAGCAGUGGGGAAUAUUGGACAAUGGGCGCAAGCCUGAUCCAGCCAUACCGCGUGGGUGAAGAAGGCCUUCGGGUUGUAAAGCCCUUUUGUUGGGAAAGAAAAGCAGCAGGUUAAUACCCCGCUGUUCUGACGGUACCCAAAGAAUAAGCACCGGCUAACUUCGUG
rnacentral:rRNA from 1 species